GGGCCGUUAGCUCAGUUGGUUAGAGCAGAGGACUCAUAAUCCUUUGGUCGUUGGUUCGAUCCCAACACGGCCUACCA
rnacentral:tRNA from 1 species